AGCGUUAGCUCAGUGGUUAGAGUUUUGGUCUCUCAACCGAAAGGUCGGGGGAUCGAAUCCGAAGUAGUUU
rnacentral:tRNA from 1 species